AAAAAUUUAGUUAAUCCAUAACGUUAGUUUGUCAAACUAAAAUAAUCUAAAUGAUAAUUUUUU
rnacentral:tRNA from 1 species